GAUGAACGCUGGCGGCGUGCUUAACACAUGCAAGUCGAACGAAGCACUUUAUUUGAUUUCCUUCGGGACUGAUUAUUUUGUGACUGAGUGGCGGACGGGUGAGUAACGCGUGGGUAACCUGCCUUGUACAGGGGGAUAACAGUUGGAAACGGCUGCUAAUACCGCAUAAGCGCACAGCAUCGCAUGAUGCAGUGUGAAAAACUCCGGUGGUAUAAGAUGGACCCGCGUUGGAUUAGCUAGUUGGUGAGGUAACGGCCCACCAAGGCGACGAUCCAUAGCCGACCUGAGAGGGUGACCGGCCACAUUGGGACUGAGACACGGCCCAAACUCCUACGGGAGGCAGCAGUGGGGAAUAUUGCACAAUGGGCGAAAGCCUGAUGCAGCGACGCCGCGUGAGCGAAGAAGUAUUUCGGUAUGCAAAGCUCUAUCAGCAGGGAAGAUAAUGACGGUACCUGACGAAGAAGCACCGGCUAAAUACGUG
rnacentral:rRNA from 1 species